rnacentral:rRNA from 1 species
AUGAACGCUAGCUACAGGCUUAACACAUGCAAGUCGAGGGGAAACGAUAUUGGAAGCUUGCUUCCGAUAGGCGUCGACCGGCGCACGGGUGAGUAACGCGUAUCCAACCUGCCCAUCACUUGGGGAUAACCUUGCGAAAGUAAGACUAAUACCCAAUGACGUCUCUAGAAGACAUCUGAAUGAGAUUAAAGAUUUAUCGGUGAUGGAUGGGGAUGCGUCUGAUUAGCUUGUUGGCGGGGUAACGGCCCACCAAGGCGACGAUCAGUAGGGGUUCUGAGAGGAAGGUCCCCCACAUUGGAACUGAGACACGGUCCAAACUCCUACGGGAGGCAGCAGUGAGGAAUAUUGGUCAAUGGGCGAGAGCCUGAACCAGCCAAGUAGCGUGCAGGAUGACGGCCCUAUGGGUUGUAAACUGCUUUUAUAAGGGAAUAAAGUGAGUCUCGUGAGACUUUUUGCAUGUACCUUAUGAAUAAGGACCGGCUAAUUCCGUGCCAGCAGCCGCGGUAAUACGGAAGGUCCGGGCGUUAUCCGGAUUUAUUGGGUUUAAAGGGAGCGUAGGCCGGAGAUUAAGCGUGUUGUGAAAUGUAGACGCUCAACGUCUGCACUGCAGCGCGAACUGGUUUCCUUGAGUACGCACAAAGUGGGCGGAAUUCGUGGUGUAGCGGUGAAAUGCUUAGAUAUCACGAAGAACUCCGAUUGCGAAGGCAGCUCACUGGAGCGCAACUGACGCUGAAGCUCGAAAGUGCGGGUAUCGAACAGGAUUAGAUACCCUGGUAGUCCGCACGGUAAACGAUGGAUGCCCGCUGUUGGUCUGAAUAGGUCAGCGGCCAAGCGAAAGCAUUAAGCAUCCCACCUGGGGAGUACGCCGGCAACGGUGAAACUCAAAGGAAUUGACGGGGGCCCGCACAAGCGGUGGAUUAUGUGGUUUAAUUCGAAGCAACGCGAAGAACCUUACCAGGGCUUGACAUCCAACUAACGAAGCAGAGAUGCAUUAGGUGCCCUUCGGGGAAAGUUGAGACAGGUGGUGCAUGGUUGUCGUCAGCUCGUGUCGUGAGAUGUUGGGUUAAGUCCCGCAACGAGCGCAACCCUUAUUGCCAGUUACUACGAAAGAGGACUCUGGCGAGACUGCCGUUGACAAAACGGAGGAAGGUGGGGAUGACGUCAAAUCAUCAUGCCCCUUAUGACCAGGGCUACACACGUGCUACAAUGGCGUAAACAAAGAGAAGCGAACUCGCGAGGGUAAGCAAAUCUCAAAAAUAACGUCUCAGUUCGGAUUGUAGUCUGCAACUCGACUACAUGAAGCUGGAAUCGCUAGUAAUCGCAGAUCAGAAUGCUGCGGUGAAUACGUUCCCGGGUCUUGUACACACCGCCCGUCACACCAUGGGAGUCAGUAACGCCCGAAGUCAGUGACCCAACCGUAAGGAGGGAGCUGCCGAAGGUGGGACCGAUAACUGGGGUG